GACGAACGCUGGCGGCGUGCUUAACACAUGCAAGUCGAACGGAAAGGCCCUGCUUUUGUGGGGUGCUCGAGUGGCGAACGGGUGAGUAACACGUGAGUAACCUGCCCUUGACUUUGGGAUAACUUCAGGAAACUGGGGCUAAUACCGGAUAGGAGCUCCUGCUGCAUGGUGGGGGUUGGAAAGUUUCGGCGGUUGGGGAUGGACUCGCGGCUUAUCAGCUUGUUGGUGGGGUAGUGGCUUACCAAGGCUUUGACGGGUAGCCGGCCGGGGAGGGUGACCGGCCCAAUGGGACAUGGGAGACGCCCAGGGCUCUUCCGGGGGGAAGGAGGGGGGAUUUUUGCACAAGGGGCGGAGGCCUGAUGCAGCAACCCGGGGUGCGGGAGGCGGGCCUUCGGGUGGAAAGCCCUUUUUGCCGGUAACGAGGCGGAGUGGCGGUUAAGGGUAAAAAAGCCACGGGCAACCACCUG
rnacentral:rRNA from 1 species